rnacentral:rRNA from 1 species
GGGAKGWCGWAAAAUCAUMAUSCCCYUUAUGMCSUGGGCUACACACGUGCUACAAUGGAUGGUACAACGAGCAGCAAGACCGCGAGGUCAAGCGAAUCUCUUAAAGCCAUUCUCAGUUCGGAUUGCAGGCUGCAACUCGCCUGCAUGAAGCCGGAAUCGCUAGUAAUCGCGGAUCAGCACGCCGCGGUGAAUACGUUCCCGGGUCUUGUACACACCGCCCGUCACACCACGAGAGUUUGUAACACCCGAAGUCGGUGAGGUAACCUUUUUGGAGCCAGCCGCCUAAGGUGGGACAGAUGAUUGGGGUGAAGUCGUAACAAGGUAACC